UACGUAGGGUGCGAGCGUUGUCCGGAAUUACUGGGCGUAAAGAGCUCGUAGGCGGUUUGUCACGUCGUCUGUGAAAUCCUCCAGCUUAACUGGGGGCGUGCAGGCGAUACGGGCAGACUUGAGUACUGUAGGGGAGACUGGAAUUCCCGGUGUAGCGGUGAAAUGCGUAGAGAUCGGGAGGAACAUCGAUGGCGAAGGCAGCCAUCUGGACCAGCACUGACGCUGAGGCACGAAAGCGUGGGGAGCAAACAGGAUUAGA
rnacentral:rRNA from 1 species